GAUGAACGCUGGCGGCGUGCCUAAUACAUGCAAGUCGAGCGAACAGAUGAGGAGCUUGCUCCUCUGACGUUAGCGGCGGACGGGUGAGUAACACGUGGAUAACCUAUCUAUAAGACUGGGAUAACUUCGGGAAACCGGAGCUAAUACCGGAUAAUAUAUUGAACCGCAUGGUUCAAUAGUGAAAGCCGGUUUUGCUGUCACUUAUAGAUGGAUCCGCGCCGCAUUAGCUAGUUGGUAAGGUAACGGCUUACCAAGGCAACGAUGCGUAGCCGACCUGAGAGGGUGAUCGGCCACACUGGAACUGAGACACGGUCCAGACUACUACGGGAGGCAGCAGUAGGGAAUCUUCCGCAAUGGGCGAAAGCCUGACGGAGCAACGCCGCGUGAGUGAUGAAGGUCUUCGGAUCGUAAAACUCUGUUAUUAGGGAAGAACAAAUGUGUAAGUAACUAUGCACGUCUUGACGGUACCUAAUCAGAAAGCCACGGCUAACUACGUG
rnacentral:rRNA from 1 species